rnacentral:rRNA from 1 species
UACGUAGGGUGCGAGCGUUGUCCGGAAUUAUUGGGCGUAAAGAGCUUGUAGGCGGUUUGUCGCGUCUGCUGUGAAAAUCCGGGGCUCAACCCCGGACUGCAGUGGGUACGGGCAGACUAGAGUGUGGUAGGGGAGACUGGAAUUCCUGGUGUAGCGGUGAAAUGCGCGGAUAUCAGGAGGAACACCGAUGGCGAAGGCAGGUCUCUGGGCCACUACUGACGCUGAGAAGCGAAAGCAUGGGGAGCGAACAGG